rnacentral:lncRNA from 1 species
CAGGCAGGGCUAGGCUGAUGGGGUGGUCUGCUGCUCUGGCCUAUUUCUGGGACUCCAUCGGCUGGUUCCCAGCUCUUUCUAGUGGGGCAGAGACCCCAGUGCCCCAAUCCAGCGGGCCCAGGGGCAGGCAGCAGGCGUCUUGGUGUUAAGCUCUGGCCUCUGCAUUCCCACCUCCUCCUCCCUACCCCAGUGCAGCUGCCAGCUGGAUCUUCUGUGGUACUGCACACCUUGUUUUGCCCGGGAACUUGCAAAUGGCCUCAAGCCCAGACCCCAUGGGCUUUCAUUUAAGUCCCAGUUUUCCCUAACUUCCUCCUCUCACCUGGAUUGUUUCCCCCUCAUCACCACCACACAGUUUAUCUUUGAGUGUGAACUCCUGAUCUUCCUCAGGAUCAUCUUUCUGAUCUCUGACCAGCCAAACCUGCCCACCCCUCAAAGUAUAGCUAAAAUUCCACUCCCUCCCCAAGCUGCAUAACCCCUUAUGUGUUCUAGUACUCUCAGUUUGAUGCUAUCUGAGUGGAGUCUUCUCAACAGAAGUUUAAAUAAGUUAGUUUAAAUAAAUUUAACAGUUUAUAUAUGUUAGUCCCUUUUUAAUGAGAAGGGGCAGGGCCUGUAAUCCCAGCAUUCACUUGAGUGUGGGAGUUUAAGACUAGCCUGGACAACACAGGGAGGCUAUCUCAAAAUAAAAGUGGAAACAAAUGAGGAAGCAAAUCCUUUGCCAGGCCAUGUAUCCCAGUUUAUGAAUUGAAAAAUGUCUCUUCCCUGAUAACUCCCCUUCCUGUGCCUUGUGUCUCUUACUAGAUGGUUACUCAAAACUUCUAAAUCUUUUGAAAUUGUGCUGGGGAAAACUCAAAUGUUUGGAUAAAAUGGAAGUAUACUAGAGGCUGGGGCUGGGGCUCAGUGGUAGAGCACUGGCCUAGCAUGUGUGCAAGGUGCUGGGUUCAAUCCUCAGCAUCACAUACAAAUAAAUAAAUAAAAUAAAGGUAUUGUGGGGCUGGGGUUAUGGCUCAGUGGUACAGUGCUCACCUGUCAUGCAUGGGGCACUGGGUUUGAUCCUCAGUACCACAUAAAUAUAAAAUAAAG